GGCCUCCUGGUGCUUACCACGGGUUGUGUUCUUAUACUGACUGUAUAGAAAGAGGAGAGCAAACCUAUCCCAUAUACACCUCAGCACAGUCCCUGUGCCUUGUCUGUAUUGUGAAUGGGGAGACGUGG
rnacentral:snoRNA from 1 species